CCAUUCCUAUUGCAGUGAUUUAGGCAUCAGCACAAGUUGACAGUAGAUAACCACAACCUUAUUGGAGACUUAUAUUUAUCUUGGUAAAUUCACCUUGUACCCUAGUGUUGCUGGAUAA